AACAUCUUCUUACCAAAAAGUGCAAAGGUAAGGAGAUACGUUCUGCGCAUGCGCAGCCCUAUCUCCUUAAAUACGCAUAAUUUGUUAAAAAGAUAUUAAGCAAAGUUGUAGCCGUCAUCCAGACGAAACACUUUUGUUAACAUCUUCUUACCAAAAAGUGCAAAGGUGAGGAGAUACGUUCUGCGCAUGCGCUGCGCUAUCUCCUUAAAUACGCAUAAUUUGUUAAAUGGAUAUU
rnacentral:miRNA from 1 species